GAGGCCAGGAUGGAUGUAGAAGGAACAAGCAUGUGAACAAGAGGAAGGGCAGAGCUUUGCCAAUUUGCAGAGGAAUGAAAUUCAUGCCGAUAAGAAGAUUAAAGAGCAUUUAAACUGCCAUCAUUUGUGGCCCAUGGAGAACUCACAGGCGAUAUAUUCUACUGGCAAUAACUGCAAAAUUUGAAUAAAAACACUGGCAACAUCUUGAGUUCCUGGAGUAAUUUUAGCUACCUGUGCCUACAAACAAUAAGUAAAGCUCUAAGUAUCAGAAGGUAAAACAGACAUCGGGCUCAUAAAUAAGAAUGUCUUCAUCCAGUAUGAGAAUGCCAGAUCUGAGAAGCUUGAAGUUUCAAAAAAUAAUUGAGAUUUGUCCAGUCCUACAUUUCCCUCUAAAAUAAAAUAACUUUACAUUGCUGCCAUGCCAAAGCAAAACAGCGUGUCUGAAGAUAAACUAAAGAAAUGUGUCUGAGCUACAGAACUUUUAAUAGCUGAAAAUACUUCUCACGUGGAGAGCACCAUGAGUUAUUUGCCUAUUUACUGGAUUCACCAGUACAUUACAUAGUGAGAAAUAGAAUUCAACCCUGAAGGUUUGCAAUAGUUCCAAGAGCCAUCUGAAUGAAAAGUUGUUUUCAUUGCUUUUAUUUUCAUUUGUAUUUUAAUCUAUGAAAUAUUCAGUUCAUUCAGGGUUUAAUGUAAAUGAACUUAGGGAUUUAAAAGAACCCCAGGAAUCUCAUGAUGUUCAACAAAAGCCAAUACAAACUCCAGCCCCUGGAACACAAAACCCCACGCACCAACUCAGACUGGGGACAACAUCUGCUAAACAGAUUUGCAGAGAAGGAUAGUGGAGUCCUGGUGGAGAACAAGUUGCCAGCAGUGCACCUCUAUUCAAGGAAGACCAACAGCUUUCCUGUGCUGCAUCAGCAAACCUGUCCAGGGAAGCAAUUCUUCCCCUGAAUGUGGGUGGCACUUGUGAGACCAUAUCUAGAGUACUGUGUUGAGUUUUCGUCUCCUCAGUACAAGAGGGACAUGGACGUACCAGACCCAGAGAAAAGAGGAAUCCUGUACGAAGGAAUUUAUUGCACUUUCUGUAUCCUGAAUGUCAGUGUGGAAUUCAGGUGUCCACAAAACCCUUGUACCAAGCAUAGCUGGUUCUCAUUCAGGAGGGUUUUCUAGCUGUUGGGUUUGGACUUUUUGGAAGACUCAGUGGUCUAUGCAGUUUGAUUCAUCUUGAAGUGAUCCUACUACAAAAGUCACACAAUGACCACAUGCCAGCCCAGAACAAAGUUCAGAACUGCUUUCCACAGUUGAUUCGUUGUACUUCGUUGUACUUCGAUUCGUUGUAGUUACUGUUCUCCAGUACUCCUUCAGUUCUAACAGCUACUGUCCUGUUUCUACUCUGGGCUUCUAAUCUGGACUUUGAUUUCUCUAAAUCAGGAUACCAUUUGAUUGUGAAAGCUAUUUGAUUACAAUGAAGGCAGACUAUGUAGGCUUUUUUUCCCCCUCUUCCUCUAACUGCUGAAAACUUUCACACUCCACUUAUGUGUGUGAAGACUGACAUUUCCAUGAGCUAAUCAGAAUAUGCAUAAGGAGACGGAGAGGAUUUUCUUCCCUUUACAAAUGUUUGAGUGACACAGUCACAUUGGGGAAUUUUACUGUAGGAAACAGUAAAGAAAAAGUAGUUCCUUUCUCAAAUUCUGAAAUGUUAUAAUAAUUAUAUUCUUUUAAAAAAUAAUCAAAAGAAAUUCCUGCCGCUGUUGGGUGAAGUCAGCUGUUAAUUAUUUACAUUUUCUCCUUUAUCCAGCUAUGCUUUCUACAUAAUUAGAAAUUCCUUCCCAUCCAACAAGAAGGCUGUAUUCCAGCUGAGUUUGGGUCUCCUAGAGCGAAAGGGUUUUUUUUGUUAUUGCUUGUUUUUAGUCAUCCCCUGCUGAGACCCUGUCGUCUGGUCAAAAGAGAACGAGUUUGCAAGAGGCUUCCAGCAGCAGAAAAGCCUCUGAAGCUUUGCUGUAAAAUAAUGCAUAUAACGUAGUGGAAAACAACUGAGCUCACAGUACCGGAAACCAAUAAACAGUUCGACACACUGAGCCCUGUAUUGAUUU
ensembl:lncRNA